rnacentral:rRNA from 1 species
AUUGAACGCUGGCGGCAGGCCUAACACAUGCAAGUCGAGCGGAGCGGCGGACGGGUGAGUAAUGCCUAUGUAUCUGCCUGGUCGUGGGGGAUAACGUUAGGUAACGGGCGCUAAUACUGCAUCCUCUCAGAUGAGGCUAGGUCGGAUUGGCUAGUUGGUGGGGUAAAGGCAUACCAAGGCGACGAUCCGUAGCCGGUCUGAGAGGAUGAUCAGUCACACUGGAACUGAGACACGGUCCAGACUCCUACGGGAGGCAGCAGUGGGGAAUAUUGGACAAUGGGCGAAAGCCUGAUGCAGCCAUGCCGCGUGUGUGAAGAAGGUCUUCGGGUUGUAAAGCACUUUCAGUUGGGAGGCGUUACCAGCAGAAGAAGCACCGGCUAACUCCGUGCCAGCAGCCGCGGUAAUAC